AAAAUCCGCUGUAACAAUUCUGAGGCGUGAUGGGGAAGGCCAUAUAGGCCGAAGUACAUGAUUCCAUGCUUCCAAGAAAAGCAUCUAGAGAGAGAAGUAGUGCCCGUACCGCAAACCGACACAGGUAGAUGAGGAGAGAAUCCUAAGGCCGGCGGAAGAAUUGCAGUUAAGGAACUAGGCAAAUUGACCCCGUAAGUUCGCGAGAAGGGGUGCCUGCGAGAGCAGGCCGCAGAGAAUGGGCCCAAGCAACUGUUUAGCAAAAACACAGGUCUCUGCUAAAGCGUAAGCUGAUGUAUAGGGGCUGACGCCUGCCCGGCGCUGGAAGGUUAAGGGGAACACUUAGCGCAAGCGAAGGUGUGAACUUAAGCCCCAGUAAACGGCGGCCGUAACAAUAACGGUCCUAAGGUAGCGAAAUUCCUUGUCAGGUAAGUUCUGACCCGCACGAAUGGCGUAAUGACUUGGGCACUGUCUCAACUGCAAAUCCGGCGAAGUUGUAGUGCGAGUGAAGAUGCUCGCUACCCGCGAUUGGACGGAAAGACCCCGUAGAGCUUUACUGUAGCUUAGCAUUGAAUUCCGGUAUUGUCUGUACAGGAUAGGUGGGAGACUGGGAAACUAGGGCGUCAGCCUUAGUGGAGUCAACCUUGGGAUACCACCCUGACAGUACUGGGGUUCUAACAGGACGCCAUGAAUCUGGUGACUGGACAUUGUUAGGUGGGCAGUUUGACUGGGGCGGUCGCCUCCUAAAAAGUAACGGAGGCGCCCAAAGGUUCCCUCAGAACGGUCGGAAAUCGUUCGUAGAGUGCAAAGGCAGAAGGGAGCCUGACUGCGAGACAUACAAGUCGAGCAGGGACGAAAGUCGGGCUUAGUGAUCCGGUGGUACCUCGUGGGAGGGCCAUCGCUCAACGGAUAAAAGCUACCUCCGGGAUAACAGGCUGAUCUCCCCCAAGAGUCCACAUCGACGGGGAGGUUUGGCACCUCGAUGUCGGCUCGUCGCAUCCUGGGGCUGUAGUAGGUCCCAAGGGUUGGGCUGUUCGCCCAUUAAAGCGGCACGCGAGCUGGGUUCAGAACGUCGUGAGACAGUUCGGUCCCUAUCCGUCGCGGGCGUAGGAAAUUUGAGAGGAGCUGUCCUUAGUACGAGAGGACCGGGAUGGACUGACCUCUGGUGUACCAGUUGUUCCGCCAGGAGCAUGGCUGGGUAGCUAAGUCGGGAAGGGAUAAACGCUGAAAGCAUCUAAGCGUGAAGCCUCCCUCAAGAUGAGAUUUCCCAUAGCAUAAGCUAGUAAGACCCCUUGAAGAACACAAGGUUGAUAGGUCAGAGGUGUAAGUGCGGUAACGUAUUUAGCUGACUGAUACUAAUAGGUCGAGGGCUUGACCAU
rnacentral:rRNA from 1 species